rnacentral:tRNA from 1 species
GAGCCCGUGGCGCAGUGGUAGCGCGUGUGAUUCCAGUUCGGUGUCCACAAGGUCAUCCGUUCAAAUCGGGUCGGGCUCA